rnacentral:rRNA from 1 species
GGGGGGAACCCUGACGCAGCGACGCCGCGUGCGGGACGGAGGCCUUCGGGUCGUAAACCGCUUUCAGCAGGGAAGAGUCAAGACUGUACCUGCAGAAGAAGCCCCGGCUAACUACGUGCCAGCAGCCGCGGUAAUACGUAGGGGGCGAGCGUUAUCCGGAUUCAUUGGGCGUAAAGCGCGCGUAGGCGGCCCGGCAGGCCGGGGGUCGAAGCGGGGGGCUCAACCCCCCGAAGCCCCCGGAACCUCCGCGGCUUGGGUCCGGUAGGGGAGGGUGGAACACCCGGUGUAGCGGUGGAAUGCGCAGAUAUCGGGUGGAACACCGGUGGCGAAGGCGGCCCUCUGGGCCGAGACCGACGCUGAGGCGCGAAAGCUGGGGGAGCGAACAGGAUUAGAUACCCUGGUAGUCCCAGCCGUAAACGAUGGACGCUAGGUGUGGGGGGACGAUCCCCCCGUGCCGCAGCCAACGCAUUAAGCGUCCCGCCUGGGGAGUACGGCCGCAAGGCUAAAACUCAAAGGAAUUGACGGGGGCCCGCACAAGCAGCGGAGCAUGUGG